AUGGCGAAGUUCAACCACGUUUACAAGGACGGCACCGAGAAGGCACAUCGGUAUGAGGUGUUCAAGGCCAACGUUGCCUUCAUCGAGUCGUUCAACGCCGGAAACCACAAGUUCUGGCUCGGUGUCAACCAGUUUACUGACCUCACCAAUGAUGAGUUCAAGGCAACCAAGACCAACAAGGGCCUCAAGAGGAGCGGUAGCCGGGCUCCAACCAGGUUCAAGUACAACAAUGUCAGCACCGAUGCACUUCCAACCACAGUUGAUUGGAGAACCAAGGGUGCCGUCACACCUAUCAAAGACCAGGGCCAAUGUGAAGGCAUUGUGAAGUUGAGCACCGGGAAGCUUGUCUCUCUGUCAGAACAAGAGCUAGUUGAUUGUGAUGUUCAUGGUGUUGAUCAGGGUUGUGAUGGUGGUGAAAUGGAUGACGCCUUCAAGUUCAUCAUCAAGAAUGGCGGCCUC
rnacentral:rRNA from 1 species